rnacentral:rRNA from 1 species
GACGAACGCUGGCGGCGUGCCUAAUACAUGCAAGUCGAACGCUUCUUUCCUCCCGAGUGCUUGCACUCAAUUGGAAAGAGGAGUGGCGGACGGGUGAGUAACACGUGGGUAACCUGCCCAAAAGAAGGGGAUAACAUUUGGAAACAAGUGCUAAUACCGUAUAACCAUGAUGACCGCAUGGUCAUGAUGUAAAAGGUGGUUUUGCUAUCGCUUUUGGAUGGACCCGCGGCGUAUUAACUAGUUGGUAAGGUAACGGCUUACCAAGGUGAUGAUACGUAGCCGAACUGAGAGGUUGAUCGGCCACAAUGGGACUGAGACACGGCCCAUACUCCUACGGGAGGCAGCAGUAGGGAAUCUUCCACAAUGGGCGCAAGCCUGAUGGAGCAACGCCGCGUGAAUGAAGAAGGUCUUCGGAUCGUAAAGUUCUGUUAUUAGAGAAGAACACGUGUAAGAGUAACUGAUUAUGCGUUGACGGUAUCUAAUCAGCAAGUCACGGCUAACUACGUGCCAGCCGCCGCAGUAACAC